GACAGUGCUUAGCAGAGAUUCAGAAUGCCUAAGCUGGGCCGACCCAGAGAAAGCUCCUCGGCACAGAUGGAGAGACCAAGGCCAGAGAAGAUGGAAGGCUGGAUGGAGGAGGAGGAGGGGUUGGAGGAUGGAGGGAUGGCUGGCUGCGACGCUGGUCUCAGGUGGAUGGAUGCCGCGCCCGACCCCUCCCGGGAGCCCCCACCCCAGUACCUUGAGGUCCAGGUGCAGAACCCUCAUCCUGUGCAUGAAGAGGAUCCCGUCGCAGAUCUGCCGGACAAACACCAUGGUGUCCACCUCAGUCAGGUGGUAGUCCUCGUCCACAAUCCUCUCGAAGAGCUCGCCGCCCUCGAUGCUGUGUGCACAGACCCCUCUGCAGGCUUGCUUCCGGGCCCGCUGCCCCCUCCCCAGGCCCCACCCCACUGAUGGCACUCACUACUCCAUGAAGAGCACGAACUCGUGCGAGGUCUCAAUGGCUGCAUAGAGCUGGAUCAGGUUGCGGUGGUUCAGCUGGUUCAUAACCUCGAUCUCAAGCAUCACCAUUUCCUGGGGACCAGGGAAGUCAGGGGGACCAUCCGAGCAUCAUUACUCCCUGCCCUCCACCCUCCACACCUUCGCCCUUGACUAGACCUGUUGGGCCUUGCCUGGACCACUGCCCACCUCCUCCUCGCUGGUCUCCUCGCCUCCCACCUCUCCCCACCCUCAAGUCUGUGUCCUCACCACACAGUCACUCCUACUGGGACACCUUUCAUUUGCUGGUUCUUCUCCUCCCCCUGGCUGAAUAGUGGGCUCCAUCCUCCCUGCUCAGGACUCCCUGCUCUAUACUCUCCCCCCGGGCGUUCUCCUCAAGUCCCAGGACUUGAAAUUCCAUCCAAAUGUGAUUGAUUUCCAAAUCCAUAUCUCCACCUCCGAGUGCUCCUUUAAACUCCAGACACCAAUCUCUCCAACUGCCUACCCUCCCUCCCCCUGAAUGUCUGACUAACGGGCAUCUCAAAUCUCUCAUGUCCAAAAUUAAACUCUUGAUACCACUCCUUCCCCACAAUUGAGUUGCCCCCAGCUUGCCCAUCAGCAAAAGGCCGUCACUCUUCACUUGGGUGUGCAGGACAAAAAGUUAGGAGCUUUCCCAGAUUCCUGUCUUAUUCUCACUUCCUCACACCCUUCAUCCAAACCAUCAGUAAAUCCUUUGACUCUACCCCUAAGCUAGAUUACAAAUCCAAUAAUUUCUCACCUCCCCCAUCACUGCCUUCCUAGUCUCAGCUGCCAUUAUUUGUCACUUUCAGAAUGUUUGCAAACCAGUAGUCACAUCUGUGAAAUCAACAACGGUAGGAAUAUUUACACCAGGGAAAUUGGCAAAUGCUACAGAUCAGGUCUCUCCCCGGAACUAUGCCCCCAGAGCAUUGGAUCACUACCUGGACUGCUCCAUUUUUCCCGUUAUUCCAUUCCUUGGUUGAUAUCUCACCUUCCAUGCCACUUCCUCAGAGAGGCCUAACCUCACUCGAUCUUAUCUGAACGGCCCCCAUCGACCCUGUUCUUACCUGGCUUUACUUUUUUUCCUAACACUUCUCAGUUCCUGACAGCAUGUUUUUUGUUUUAGUUUGGUUUUAGCCAUCUGUCCCUCCUCUCUAGCACAUCAGGACUUGUUUACUACCAUUUUCCUAGCACCUGACACAUUGAACAGCACAGAAAAAGUGCCCAAUAAUUAAUUAAUCAACAGCUGACUCCAAUUAAUUUACACAGUACAUAUGUCUUGAGCAUCUACGCUGAGCCAGGUCCAUGAUAGAGGCCUUGGACCCAGCAGUCAAUAACGUGGAUCCAGGCCCCGUCAAGUGGAAGCGACAGAGAAAGACAGAGUCACAUAGAAAAUCCAUGCUGUUCAUAUGUGCUCAGAGCCACGGUGAGGAAUUCAGGGCUGCAGCACUUCCUCUGGAGCUGCUUCUCCUGCUUCUCCAGGCCUCUGCAGGUGCCGCUGUCUCUGCUCCCCUGGCCUUGACCUUGACUCAAGCGUUCCCAGCAGGUACCUGCCGUUUCUGGCCCUCAGGCCUUUCUUUCCACAGUCUUCUCUGUUUGAAACUCUCUCCCCUGCCUUCCUCACUGGAAAACAGCUCCUCCUUCUUCAAAGUCUUCAUUCAGGAGAAGCUUCCCUGAACCCACAGGUACAGACUGCUCCAAACUUGCCACUGGAGAGAGAAGGGGCUGGGAAUGAAGGAGUUCUAAGGGCCUUGGGGUGAGGGGCUGUGCUCUCUUCCCUGUGACAUGGGGGCACACAUCCCAGCCAGCUCCGAUUCCCUCCAGAAGCUGUGAGCUCUACUGCUGGGACAAUGGCUGAACCACGUAGACCACAGGCCCAGGAAGGGUGGGCUCAUCAAAGGAUGGCCGCUGAUGUGCAGCUCGCAGACUGUGGCAGGGAGGGGCCCUGGGCCCUGGGGGAGGGCACCUUCAGGACUUUUAACAAAGCAGGAGUCGCCUUGAGGGGGGUCAGUGUGGUGCCUGCAACUGAGACAGACAGGAAAAUACUCUAUGCUUCCUAUGGGAGACACUGAAUGACCAAUGGUGUGUUUGUGUGAGUGACAGUGACACACCAGCCAUGUGACAGGCUGCACACAAGUGUGACCAUGUGGCACCAAUUUGCUCAUGUCCAGUCGGAGCGUCUGGGCCUCUCAUGGGGAAGAUGUAAGGCCUGGGGGCU